UCUUUUUGAAUAUUAUAUAAGGUCUAACCUGCCCAAUGAGGAAUUGAAUGGCUGCGGUAUUCUAACCGUGCUAAGGUAGCAUAAUCAUUUGUCUUUUAAUUGAGGGCUUGUAUGAAAGGUUGGAUGAAGUAAUAACUUUCUUUAAUUUAAUUUAUGAAUUAAAUUUUUUAGUCAAAAAGCUAAAAUAUUUUUAUUGGACGAGAAGACCCUAUAGAUCUUUACAGGUCAUUAAAUUUAAUAAUUUGGGGAAUUACUUAUUUUUAAUUAAUUUCUUGUUUGGUUGGGGUGAUUGUAGAAUUUUAUGAACUUCUA
rnacentral:rRNA from 1 species